rnacentral:rRNA from 1 species
UACGAAGGGGGCUAGCGUUGUUCGGAAUUACUGGGCGUAAAGCGCGCGCAGGCGGUCUUCCAAGUCAGUGGUGAAAGCCCGGAGCUCAACUCCGGAACUGCCAUUGAAACUGUAAGACUUGAGGAUGAGAGAGGUGAGUGGAAUUCCCAGUGUAGAGGUGAAAUUCGUAGAUAUUGGGAAGAACACCGGUGGCGAAGGCGGCUCACUGGCCCGUUACUGACGCUCAGGCGCGACAGCGUGGGGAGCAAACAGGG